rnacentral:rRNA from 1 species
UGGGUAGGGUAGCGUCGUGUGGGCAGUGAAGCGCCGGAGUGAUCCAGGUGUGGAGCCCACACGAGUGAGAAUGCAGGCAUGAGUAGCGAAUCACGGGUGAGAAACCCGUGCGCCGAAUGAUCAAGGGUUCCAGGGUCAAGCUAAUCUGCCCUGGGUAAGUCGGGACCUAAGGCGAGGCCGACAGGCGUAGUCGAUGGACAACGGGUUGAUAUUCCCGUACCGGCGAAGUUGCGCCCAUGACGAACCUGGUGAUGCUAACCACCCGAAACUCAUCGGACCGGACCCUUCGGGGCGAGGCUGGUGGGCGGAGCGUGGGACCCUAGCCGGUAGUAGUCAAGCGAUGGGGUGACACAGGAAGGUAGCCCAACCACAGCGAUGGUUGUCUGUGGGCAAGCGUGUAGGACGUGGUGUAGGCAAAUCCGCACCAUCCACUUCAGUGUGGAGUCUGAGACGUGAUGCGGAGCCGUAUGGCGAAGUGGGUGAUCCUAUGCUGUCGAGAAAAACCUCUAGCGAGCAACGAGCCGCCCGUACCCCAAACCGACUCAGGUGAUCAAGUAGAGAAUACUAAGGCGAUCGAGAAAACCAUGGUUAAGGAACUCGGCAAAAUGCCCCCGUAACUUCGGGAGAAGGGGGGCCUGAGGCGUGAACGGACUUGCUCCGGAAGCGCUGUAUGGCCGCAGAGACC